GUCUACGGCCAUACCACCCUGACCGCGCCCGAUCUCAUCUGAUCUCAAAAGCUAAGCAGGGUCGGGCCUGUGUAGUACUUGGAUGGGGAAGUCAUGAUUUUUCUAAAUUAAUUGCUAUCUGCUGUGGUUU
ensembl:rRNA 5S_rRNA 5S ribosomal RNA